CCUACGGGUGGCAGCAGUGAGGAAUAUUGGUCAAUGGACGAGAGUCUGAACCAGCCAAGUAGCGUGAAGGAUGACUGCCCUAUGGGUUGUAAACUUCUUUUAUAUGGGAAUAAAAUGUUCCACGUGUGGGAUUUUGUCUGUACCAUAUGGAUAAGGAUCGGCUAACUCCGUGCCAGCAGCCGCGGUAAUACGGAGGAUCCGAGCGUUAUACGGAUUUAUUGGGUUUAAAGGGCGCGUAGGUGGAUUGUUAAGUCAGCUGUGAAAGUGUGCGGCUCAACCGUAAAAUUGCAGUUGAAACUGGCAGUCUGGAGUACAGUAGAGGUGGGCGGAAUUCGUGGUGUAGCGGUGAAAUGCUUAGAUAUCACGAAGAACUCCGAUUGCGAAGGCAGCUCACUGGACUGCAACUGACACUGAGGCUCGAAAGUGUGGGUAUCAAACAGGAUUAGAUACCCGUGUAGUC
rnacentral:rRNA from 1 species